AACGAACGCUGGCGGCAGGCCUAACACAUGCAAGUCGAACGCUCUAGCAAUAGAGAGUGGCAGACGGGUGAGUAACGCGUGGGAACCUUCCCAAUGGUGCGGAAUAGCUCAGGGAAACUUGAGGUAAUACCGCAUAAGCCCCUAGGGGGAAAGAUUUAUCGCCAUUGGAUGGGCCCGCGUCGGAUUAGCUAGUUGGUGAGGUAAUGGCUCACCAAGGCAACGAUCCGUAGCUGGUUUGAGAGAAUGACCAGCCACACUGGGACUGAGACACGGCCCAGACUCCUACGGGAGGCAGCAGUGGGGAAUCUUGGACAAUGGGCGCAAGCCUGAUCCAGCCAUGCCGCGUGAGUGACGAAGGCCUUAGGGUUGUAAAGCUCUUUUGCCGGGGACGAUAAUGACGGUACCCGGAGAGUAAGUCCCGGCUAACUUCGUGCCAGCAGCCGCGGUAAUACGAAGGGGACUAGCGUUGUUCGGAAUUACUGGGCGUAAAGCGCACGUAGGCGGAUUUGUAAGUCAGGGGUGAAAUCCCGGGGCUCAACCUCGGAACUGCCUUUGAUACUGCAAAUCUCGAGUCCGAUAGAGGUGGGUGGAAUUCCUAGUGUAGAGGUGAAAUUCGUAGAUAU
rnacentral:rRNA from 1 species